rnacentral:rRNA from 1 species
AUUGAACGCUGGCGGCAGGCCUAACACAUGCAAGUCGAACGAGUGGCGGACGGGUGAGAAAUGUCUGGGAAACUGCGCGAUGGAGGGGGGUAACUACUGGGGACGGUAGCUAAUAUCGCAUACCAUCGGAUGUGCCCCGAUGGGAUUAGCUCGUGGGUGGGGUAACGGCUCACCUAGGCGACGAUCCCUAGCUGGUGUGAGAGGAUGACCAGCCCCACUGGAACUGAGACACGGUCCAGACUCCUACGGGAGGCAGCAGGGGGGAAUAUUGCACAAUGGGCGCAAGCCUGAUGCAGCCAUGCCGCGUGUAUGAAGAAGGCCUUCGGGUUGUAAAGUACUUUCAGCGAGGAGGCGUUACUCGCAGAAGAAGCACCGGCUAACUCCGUGCCAGCAGCCGCGGUAAUUC